rnacentral:rRNA from 1 species
AUUGAACGCUGGCGGCAGGCCUAACACAUGCAAGUCGAACGAGUGGCGGACGGGUGAGUAAUGUCUGGGCAACUGCCUGAUGGAGGGGGAUAACUACUGGAAACGGUAGCUAAUACCGCAUACCAUCAGAUGUGCCCAGAUGGGAUUAGCUUGUUGGUGGGGUAACGGCUCACCAAGGCGACGAUCCGUAACUGGUCUGAGAGGAUGAUCAGUUACACUGGAACUGAGACACGGUCCAGACGCCUACGGGAGGAAGCGGUGGGGAAGAUUGGACAAUGGGCGAAAGCCUGAUCCAGCCAUGCCGCGUGUGUGAAGAAGGUCUUCGGAUUGUAAAGUAGUGUAAGUUGGGAGGCGGUACCAACAGAAGAAGCACCGGCUAACUACGUGCCAGCAGCCGCGGUAAUUC